AGAAAUUUUAAAAAAUGAUAAUAAUAUUGAUAAUUUUUACAAUAUAGCAACUUUCGUAAAUUAUAUUUACUUGUCAUUCUGCAAAUUAUUCCAAUUUAAAAAACCUAAGUAUUCUCUUUGAAAACCUUUUAUAACUUUUAUAACUAACACAAAAAUUUUAAUCUUGAUUUAUUGCAAGCAUACAUACGUAAAAGAAAUACAAUUUUUUACACGAUGUUUGGUUUAGAAAAUUCGUCAAUUGCACACAAUUGCAAAUUUAUACCAAUUUCAAAUUUAACAAUAGCCUUCUCAAAGGAUCGACAAAUAUAAAAAACGUUUAGGCGUAAAAUGUAUAGCUAAACCUCUACUUUUUUUGCGAGCAGGUAACACCAUAGAAUUAAUUCUUGAAGUUUUAUAGCUGCAAAAAGUGAAAGUUUGACCUGUGUAUAAAUGAAGAGUUCAAUCGUGGCUAACACAAAAAAUUUCAUUUGUUAUAUUCAGACAACUUGGCGAUUUUUCUUGUCCGCUGACCUUCGAAAAACUAAUUUUAAGAUAAGUAAACGUUCGACGUAUAUCAAUCGAAAAACUAUAUUGCUCCUUUUCUUUUAUUUUUAUAAAAUUUUGAAAAUAUUGUUACCUCCGGGGGACUUCACAUUUUAUCAUACGCUAAUCUUUUAGAAAUAAAUACGUUAGAAAUACUCUGAGGAUUAUCAAUGGUCAAGGGGUCGCGGAGCUCAAAAACUCCGCGCCACGUGAGAGUGUCUGGUUUUCAUAAUCAGAAGUAGUCAGACACUAAAGUCAUUAAAAUUCGGCGGGGGUCAGGUCCUGUUGAAAUAAAAGUUUAAAUAUUUACGCAGCGCCACACCGGGCUCUCGACAGUCUAAGAGCAUUUUCAAGAUUUUUAACGACCGCAAAUAAGCGCCAGAUAGAAGUUUAAACGAAAGGGACAAGGGCGCGUUUGGUUUCAAAAGUAAUAUAUAUUUUUUUAUAUGGAUGCAAUGUUUAUCGAAAGAGGACCAGACUACCUCAAAAUGCCAGAAAGCCAUAAAAGAUUUUCUGAAACCAGAUGCGUUUAUUAACUCUAAAGAAAUCCGCGCCUGGAAAACAUAAAUUUCCUUCUCCUUUCUAGAUAAGAACGCCCUGACAUUUCCAACCUUCCCCUCCCUUACUAGAUCCGAAAAUUCCAGACGGAGACAAGGAAAAGUGGAACCAAUAGUCGGGGACCCUAAUAAACAGUACCCCGAAACCAAAUAACCACUUAUCCAAUGAGAACCUUUAAAAACUAGUUUCCACGCAUUCCCGAAAGAGAGUCCUACCAAUUAGAAUAUUUGAACCACCUACAUCUGGAUCCUCCCUCUGUAAGACUCUACGUAUAUAAUACCGAGCAGGUAGUUAAGUUUAGUUUUUUUAGUAGUUAGUUACCAGUCAGUUAGUUAUCCAGCGGUUGGAGAGCAAUUAGUUACCCAGUUAGUGAGUCAAUGAAAUAAUCACGUAGAAUCAGUGCGGGAAUAAACUUUAGCCGUUCCAUCUGGUCAAGAAGCCUAUUCAAUUCCGACAAAUUUGUUCGAGAACCAGUAAUGAGUAAGUCUCAUAAUCAACUCAAUUUCCUUUUUUUUGUUUUUUACUUUACUUAUCUACUCCCUCUCGUCGAACCCAACGGAAGUAAGAAAUCUAUCACUCGCUCGAACUCACUUCGAGUCUCUCCUCCCUCUCCAAUUUGCGAAGACGUCAUCCACCGCCCUCGCCUUUCUUCACCUUCCACUUGCGAGGACGUCACCCACGGCUCUCGCCUCUUCCUCUUUUCUCCCUCACCGAUCCGCGAGGACUUAUCUCGAGUCUCUCCCCACACGUUAUCCCUUAUCCUUUUACUAUUUCGAGGAUCCCCGUUUUCCUCACGUAAUUAUUUAGUAAAACCCUUCGAUCAUUUCCUUGCUCCGCGUUUACAGUAAAACUAUAAAAUUAAAAUGAAAAAUUGUUUUGUUUCCCUUUCUCCGCCCACCACAUUCUUGUAGUAUCUGUAUAAUUAUAUACAUACUCACUAUGCGUUUUAAAUUUGAUUAUUUUACCGUUAUUAUAAAAUUAUCACAACUUUAGCGCUUAUUCGUCUUUUUAUAUUUUUAAAAUUUUGUUAUUAGAAUAAAUACUUUUAUUAAUUUUACGUAAACUCCAUCAUUUAUUUAAGUUUCAACGACCUCUCCUCAUCCCCGAACAAAGAUUGCAUCGGGUCGGAUCCCGAGCAAUUAAGUUUGUUGACUCUAAACUUGGACUUACGAGCGCACGACUGAAAAUGCAGGAUUAUAACGGGUCUACCGACACGCUGACCUACGUUUUCGAGUCAUAAAAAAUGCGUUCGACCCAAGGCAACUACCUUCUCUCUCCCUCUCUCUCUCGCGUGCCUAUGGAAGUGGUAAGUUUCGUUACGUCCUUCCCUGCUUUAUCUCCCCUCCUUUAAAGUAUCCUCAUAACCCAAAGAAUUAAGUUUAAAUCUCAUAAGGCUGGACGUAACAAUAUGUUUUGUCAAAUUUGUCACGGUCACCGAUAGUUACCAGAUAGUAUUUGUACCUGUCUGGGAUAAUAUGACGGAGAAAACAGAAUUUUAAACAAAUAACUAGUGCCACAUAUAAAACCAAAGGUUUUAAUUUUUUUUUAGGAAAUUCUAGGAAACAUUGAAUUUUUUUAAGAAACAUUGAAAUUCUAUUGAAAAUUUUAUAAGUUGCAAUAAAACACGGUUUCUUCGUCUGCAAACAUGUCCCAGCAUAUUUUUCGACAAAAAAAAAUUAAGUGAAACAUAAAUCAAAAUUUCUAAGGGGCUGAGGAGCAUGAGAGCUACGUAUUUUUCCACUAAAACUAAAAUAAUUUGGGCGGAGACAGGAAAACAGAACCAGUGGCUGGUUAUUCGAAUGGAUAAUAGGCGAUAACAAUUCCCCCCAAUAAGGUGAACUUAGAGUUUACCAACAAAACAAUCUCACUAAUUAGAAAGUUUUAGCUUAAUAACAUUGCGUUCAAAUCUGUGCGUGAUCUUUGAAAACCGGUCUUGCAAGCCGUAGCUAAACAAUCGAGCAAUUAUUCGAAAGCUAGAGCGAGCUAGGAUUGAAGAAUUUAUCAACUAAAUCGGCAGCGGGAUCAACAAUUAUGGAAAAUCAUUUCUGCCCUCGUCCAAAACGAAAUCGUUCGAAUAUAAGACGAUCUCGACGGAGGCAAGCUCGCAAACUCUUGGACGAGGCAUACCGCAAAUAUUUAGAAAGCUUGGGCAAUCAGUCUAUUUUACAUCAAGUUCCUUCUUCACUUCCUUCUGAGAAGUCAAAAGGUUCGAAUUUCCUCGAGCCAGAUUCUCGAUUAAUUCCUUCUGAGGAAAUCCUCAUUCUCGAAGAAAUAACACGCGAGCUUCUUGAUCCUCUGGAGGAUAGAAUAGAUUGAAAGAAAAUGUCUUUGAAUAAACAUAUGCACGCACAUAAUUAUCUAAUUUUAUUAUUUAAUCUCUGAGAAAUUAUUAUUAUUUAUUAUGCAAAUCAAAAUUAGGUAAUUUUAUUUAAAAUGUAGUCACUUAAAUUUAUGUAUCUUUUUUGUAA